rnacentral:tRNA from 1 species
GGUUGUGGCUCAGUGGUAGAGCACUUGCCUAGCACGUGCAAGGCCCUGAGUUCAAUCCUCAACACCA